UACAGAGGUCCCAAGCGUUGUUCGGAUUCAUUGGGCGUAAAGGGUGCGUAGGUGGCAGGGUAAGUUGGAUGUGAAAUCCCGGGGCUCAACCCCGGAACUGCACUCAAUACUGCCCUGCUAGAGUACUGGAGAGGAGAUUGGAAUUCAUGGUGUAGCAGUGAAAUGCGUAGAUAUCAUGAGGAAGACCAGUGGCGAAGGCGGAUCUCUGGACAGUUACUGACACUGAGGCACGAAGGCCAGGGGAACAAACGGG
rnacentral:rRNA from 1 species